rnacentral:lncRNA from 11 species
GAGCAGGAUAAGCAUAACUUAAUCAUAUCUGCCAAUGGCUUUAGGAUUUCUUCAAACACGAAGCCGUUACAUCAGCCCCUGCAAAUACAAUGAAGAAGCUAAAGCUGUGAAAGGGAGAAAAACCCCUUCGUGGAAUUUAAAGAAGAACUGACAGGGAAAGACGUGGUGGUGGGAGAUGCAGUUUCUUGAACUUCUCUCCAGAAGAGGGUUUUGACUCGGAAAAUGUUGCCAGUCCCAAAGGAAGAGCUAUUCUUAGUCUAUCCUUGCUUGUGCCAUUUUUUUUUAAAAGGGGCAGAAAGAACUGGAGAGAAACUGAAACUGGCAGAUUUAUCCUUCCAAGCAGAGGGCACUGAAAGGAACUGCAAUGGCACAAUGGGUUAAACCCUUGUGCUUGCUGGACUGCUGAUCUGAAGGUUGGGUUGAUGACCUGAAGGUUGCCGGUUUGAAUCCACGAGAUGGGGUGAGCUCCCAUCUGUCAGCUCUACCUUGAAAGAAGCCUCCCAGCAGGAUGGCAACACAUUUGGCGUCCCCUGGGCAACAUCUCUGUAGACAGCCAAUUCUCUCACACUAGAAGCGACUUGCAAUAUGAUCUCAAGUUGCUUCUGACACGAUAAAAAAUCAUUUACUACCAGUUAUUCAGUUUCCACUGUUGAAUUAACUGUCUACACUGUUGAAUUAAUGCAGUUUCACACUACUUUAACUACCAUGUCUCAAUGCAAUUGAACAGUAGAAGCUGUAGCGGUCAGUCACCAGCACAAAGUGGCAUAAAAUACAAAAGACCU